CUUUAUGGUGGCUGUGCGCGGGACACCUUUGGGUGUGCCGGGGAAUGUUCAUAGCUCCAUCCCUGGUCGGCUAACCCUCGCACAGCUGCCUCCCAU
rnacentral:antisense_RNA from 2 species